AUUGAACGCUGGCGGCAGGCCUAACACAUGCAAGUCGAGCGGAUGAAGGGAGCUUGCUCCUGGAUUCAGCGGCGGACGGGUGAGUAAUGCCUAGGAAUCUGCCUGGUAGUGGGGGAUAACGUCCGGAAACGGGCGCUAAUACCGCAUACGUCCUGAGGGAGAAAGUGGGGGAUCUUCGGACCUCACGCUAUCAGAUGAGCCUAGGUCGGAUUAGCUAGUUGGUGGGGUAAAGGCCUACCAAGGCGACGAUCCGUAACUGGUCUGAGAGGAUGAUCAGUCACACUGGAACUGAGACACGGUCCAGGCUCCUACGGGAGGCAGCAGUGGGGAAUAUUGGACAAUGGGCGGAAGCCUGAUCCAGCCAUGCCGCGUGUGUGAAGAAGGUCUUCGGAUUGUAAAGCACUUUAAGUUGGGAGGAAGGGCAGUAAGUUAAUACCUUGCUGUUUUGACGUUACCAACAGAAUAAGCACCGGCUAACUUCGUG
rnacentral:rRNA from 1 species